UAGGGAAUCUUCCGCAAUGGACGCAAGUCUGACGGAGCAACGCCGCGUGAGUGAAUAAGGAUUUCGGUUCGUAAAACUCUGUUGUUAGAGAAGAACAGCGCAUAGAGUAACUGUUAUGCGUGUGACGGUAUCUAACCAGAAAGCCACGGCUAACUACGUGCCAGCAGCCGCGGUAAUACGUAGGUGGCAAGCGUUGUCCGGAUUUAUUGGGCGUAAAGCGAGCGCUGGCGGUCAAUUAAGUCUGAUGUGAAAGCCCCCGGCUCAACCGGGGAGGGUCAUUGGAAACUGGUUGACUUGAGUGCAGAAGAGGAGAGUGGAAUUCCAUGUGUAGCGGUGAAAUGCGUAGAUAUAUGGAGGAACACCGGUGGCGAAGGCGACUCUCUGGUCUGUAACUGAAGCUGAGGCUAGAAAGCGUGGGUAGCAAACAGG
rnacentral:rRNA from 1 species